rnacentral:rRNA from 1 species
UUUGAAAUCUGGCGCAAGCCCGAGUUGUAAUUUGUAGAGGAUGCUUCUGGGUAGCGGCCGGUCUAAGUUCCUUGGAACAGGACGUCAUAGAGGGUGAGAAUCCCGUAUGUGACUGGCUUGCACCCUCCACGGAGCUCCUUCGACGAGUCGAGUUGUUUGGUAGUGCAGCUCUAAAUGGGAGGAUAAUUUCUUCUAAAGCUAAAUACCGGCCAGAGACCGAUAGCGCACAAGUAGAGUGAUCGAAAGAUGAAAAGCACUUUGGAAAGAGAGUUAAAAAGCACGUGAAAUUGUUGAAAGGGAAGCGCCCGCAACCAGACUUUGCGGCAGGGUUCGGCCGGUCUUCUGACCGGGUUUCUCGCUGUCGGGAGGCCAUCAUCGUCUGGGACCGCUGGAUAAGACCUUAAGAAUGUGGCUCCCCUCGGGGAGUGUUUAAACGUCUGGAUUAGCAGCUCGCCCCGGGCGAGGUCCGCGAUUCG